UACGUAGGGGGCUAGCGUUGUCCGGAUUUAUUGGGCGUAAAGAGCGUGUAGGCGGCCAGGUAGGUCAGCUGUGAAAACUCGAGGCUCAACCUCGAGACGUCGGUUGAAACCAUCUGGCUAGAGUCCGGAAGAGGAGAGUGGAAUUCCUGGUGUAGCGGUGAAAUGCGCAGAUAUCAGGAAGAACACCCGUGGCGAAGGCGGCUUCCUGGACCGACACUGACGCUGAGGCGCGAAAGCUAGGGGAGCAAACGGG
rnacentral:rRNA from 1 species